GCCUGUGACUGUGUGUGUGUGAAUGUCUGCCUGUGACUAUCUGUGACUGUGUGUGACAUUCACACACACAGUCACAGAUAUCACAGGCAGACAGUCACACACACACACA